rnacentral:rRNA from 1 species
AUUGAACGCUGGCGGCAGGCCUAACACAUGCAAGUCGAACGAGUGGCGGACGGGUGAGUAAUGGCUGGGAAACUGCCUGAUGGAGGGGGCUAAGUAGUGGAAACGGUAGCUAAAAACGCAUACCAUCGGUUGGGCCCAGAUGGGAUUAGCUAGUAGGUGGGGUAACGGCUCACCUAGGCGACGCUCCCUAGCUGGUCUGAGAGGAUGACCGGCCACACUGGAACUGAGACACGGUCCAGACUCCUACGGGAGGCAGCAGUGGGGAAUAUUUCACAAUGGGCGAAAGCCGGAUGCAGCCAUGCCGCGUGUAUGAAGAAGGCCUUCGGGUUGUAAAGUACUUUCAGCGGGGAGGCGUUACCCGCAGAAGAAGCACCGGCUAACUCCGUGCCAGCAGCCGCGGUAAUAC